rnacentral:rRNA from 1 species
GCACGAAACUUGCCCCGAGAUGAGUUCUCCCUGAGACUUUAAGUCUCCUGAAGGAACGUUGAAGACGACGACGUUGAUAGGCCGGGUGUGUAAGCGCAGCGAUGCGUUGAGCUAACCGGUACUAAUGAACCGUGAGGCUUAACCUUAC